GACGAACGCUGGCGGCGUGCUUAACACAUGCAAGUCGAACGGAAAGGCCCUGCUUUUGUGGGGUGCUCGAGUGGCGAACGGGUGAGUAACACGUGAGUAACCUGCCCUUGACUUUGGGAUAACUUCAGGAAACUGGGGCUAAUACCGGAUAGGAGCUCCUGCUGCAUGGUGGGGGUUGGAAAGGUUCGGCGGUUGGGGAUGGACUCGCGGCUUAUCAGCUUGUUGGUGGGGUAGUGGCUUACCAAGGCUUUGACGGGUAGCCGGCCUGAGAGGGUGACCGGCCACAUUGGGACUGAGAUACGGCCCAGACUCCUACGGGAGGCAGCAGUGGGGAAUAUUGCACAAUGGGCGGAAGCCUGAUGCAGCAACGCCGCGUGCGGGAUGACGGCCUUCGGGUUGUAAACCGCUUUCGCCUGUGACGAAGCGUGAGUGACGGUAAUGGGUGAAGAAGCACCGGCUAACUACGUG
rnacentral:rRNA from 1 species